AUGAAGAAAGGAGCGAAAAGUUCAAAAGAUUUCAAUUGGGAGGAGCUCAAUAUGGAACGCCUUGACAUGCAUGGCCUUGACUCUCCAAUGACCGAAAUGGAGGUUCUUCAAGCAAUCAACGACAUGCCAAAUGACAAGGCCCCGGGUCCGGAUGGAUUCACGGGCCUAUUCUUCAAAAAAUGUUGGGGCACUGUCAAGCACGACCUCAUGAGGGUCAUUGCUCGUUUCGACUCCCUCCAGACUUCGAACCUCCACUGGCUCAACUCUGCGAAUGUGGUGCUCUUGCCAAAAAAGGAUGGGGCAGAGGGGAUUGCGGACUAUAGGCCUAUUAGUCUUAUCCAUGCGAUUGCCAAGAUUAUUGCAAAGGUGCUCUCCACUCGGCUCACUCCGCACAUGACGGCCCUCAUCUCCAAUGCCCAAAGCGCCUUCAUCAAAACGAGAAGUAUUCAUGAUAACUUCAUGUAUGUUCGCAAUCUUGCACGACGCCUGCACAAGAGCAAGACCCCAUCCCUCCUUUUCAAAUUAGAUAUUCGCAAGGCAUUCGACUCGGUCAAAUGGGAAUAUAUACUGGACCUUCUCCAACGGCGAGGUUUCCCAAGCAAGUUUAGGGAUUGGAUCACGGCGCUUCUUAGUUCUUCAGCAUCGAGGAUUAUCCUCAAUGGCAUUGCCGGCAACCCAAUCAAGCAUGGUCGUGGUUUCCGGCAAGGGGACCCCAUCUCCCCGCUUCUGUUCGUCAUCGCCAUUGACCCGCUCCAAAGAAUCCUUGAUGUGGCUACGCGAAAGGGGCUCCUCCACAAAAUUCGGGGUAGGGGUGCCAUGAUGCGAACCUCCCUUUAUGCGGAUGAUGCAGCCAUCUUCCUGGCUCCGAUCAAAAAGGAUGUUGACAAUCUUGCUAAUAUUUUGAGAGGAUUUGGCGAGGUCACGGGACUUUGCACCAACUUUCAUAAGAGUUCGAUGGUGCCCAUUCGUUGCAAUAAUCUUGACUUGGAUCAUAUCACUCAAAAUCUGCCGGCAACUAGGGCUUCUUUCCCCUUGAGGUACUUGGGGCUCCCCCUCUCUGUUUGGAAGCUAAGAUUAGUGGAUCUUCAAUUUCUUGUGGACAAGGUUGCAUCCAAGUUGACAAUGUAUGAGGGCCAAAACAUCACCACCAUUGGGCGCACGGCCCUUGUCAAGUCUGUUCUCACUUCCCAAGUGAUCUACUUCAUCACACCGUUGAUCAUCCCACCAAGUAUCCUCGUCAACCAGCUCGAGAGAGCUUUCCUAUGGUCCGGCUCGGACAAGACGACGGGGGCGAAAUGCAAGGUGAAUUGGGAAAUUGUCUGUAGGCCAGUUGAGUAUGGGGGGCUUGGGGUACUCAACAUGGAAAAGUUCGCGCGUGCUCUGCGGCUGCGGUGGCCUUGGUAUGAAUGGAAGGAGCCCACCAAGUUGUGGGUGGGGAUGGGCAACCCGUGCAAUGAGGAGGACCUUAACUUUUUCUAUGCGUCUACCACUAUCACCGUGGGCAAUGGUGCGAAGACACCUUUUUGGGAAUCACCUUGGCUUCUUGGGCGCAAGCCCAAGAACAUUGCGCCACUAAUAUUCGAAGUCUCCUCGCGCAAGAAGUGGAAAGUGCGCCAGGCCAUCAAGCACAACGCGUGGAUGCUCAAGAUCAAGCCUCCAACCAUUAUUUCCGUUGAGUUCAUCACACAAUUUUUCACCCUUUGGAUGUUAUUGGAUGAGGUGCAUCUUGAUGCCCUCGCCGAGGACGACAUUUUAUGGAAACACACGACUAGUGGGCACUACUCGGCGGCCUCGGCAUAUAAGGCGCAAUUCAUAGGGAUGGUGUUUUCACCCAUGGACCAAAUGGUUUGGAAGGUCUGGGGUCCCCCCAAAGUAAAGUUCUUUGCUUGGUUGGCACUUCAAGAUAGAAUUUGGACCGCAGACAGAUUAGCCAAGAGAGGAUGGCCAAAUUGUGGUUUGUGUCCACUUUGCAAGAGGGUGCAAGAAAGCGGGUCACACCUAUUCUUCAAGUGCCGCUAUACUCUAAGGCUGUGGGCGUUGGUCAUUGAAAAAUUUCACAUCUUCGGGUUGGACACCUCUUCAUGGCGCUUGUUGGACUCCGUCAACGCUUGGUGGACAAGCACUUGUGACGCCGGCACGCCAAACCGUCAAGCCAAAGCCUCCCUCACCAUGCUUGUGACAUGGACAAUUUGGAAUGAGCGAAAUGCAAGAGUGUUUAGGUUUAAAAGCGCUCCACCGACUAUCUUGCUUAACACCAUCUCGACCGAGGCCAACCUUUGGGUCACCGCCGGUGCAAAAAAAUUAGGGUCUUUCAUAUCGCGAGAGUAA
rnacentral:rRNA from 1 species